rnacentral:lncRNA from 12 species
AUGUACAUUUCACAUCUUUGGAUAUUUUUUGGUGCUUUGGUGUCUUCAAAUGGUUGCAUAGAUGUCACCGUCAACGCCUCUCUGAAAUCUGAAGUCUAUCUCCCAUGUCACUUUGAUAUAAACCAUUACAAUGGAACAUUGGCAGUGAAUUGGAGACGCCAUUCCACUAUUAAGAGUCUUGUUACGAUCAUGACUGAUGGCAAAAUCAUCUUUGGUAGUCCUAGUGAAGGACGAGUGAAUGUUUUUCCCCUUCUGUCUAAACAUGGAAACUUCUCUAUCCUCAUCCAUGAUCUGCAGUCUUCAGACAUUGGCACCUACAUUUGUGAGCUGAACAGUGAAUGCUGGAGGGUGAAAAUCAUUGAACAGUACAGAAUCAGUGAGUCAAACUCCUGGCUCUACUUUGCAGCUGGAGCUGGAUUGUUUAUUCUCCUUUUUAUUGCUUUCAGCCUGUUAUUAAAAUUCUGUGGAAAGUGUGUAGAUACAUCAUCCAAAUCGAAUCCAGUUAAUGGAGCACGGAGUGAAGGUAGUAAUUCCCCCGAAGAAACACAGAAUACAGAAAGCAGUGAGCAUAGAAACAAAAACAAGAGGGGUGUGAGGAGGGGCCCUACAACUGUUUAUGAAAAUGACAUACAUGCUCCAAAUCAAAGUUCUGCUGUGCAGCCGGGGCAACAUCCUCAAAGAGCCUUUAGAGCCGUUCCCGAGCCAACAAGAAGUCAUCCUUCGGAUGCAAAACCAUACUACGUCAACCAGGCGGAGCUCUUCAUUCCAGUAAAUGCUGGCAAAAAACGGAAAAAACUAAAACAAAAUGUGUAUAAAAAUCCAAUAUAUGGAGACUGAAGUGAGACAGUGACAGCAGAAUAAUACAUGUUUCAAUCAGCAUAACAAAAUUGUUCAUUAUAAACAGUUCAAUAUCUCAAUAAAUUCUGAUGUUUAAUGAUUCAUGUGAAGAAUUCAUUUCAUUAAAAAAAAAUCUGUUUGUAAAGUGACAUGCACAAAACAUUAAAUGGAAAAUUAUUAUUAUCCUUCUGCCUCCUUUGUUUUGCAUAUUACAAACAGCAGUUUAUACAUUUUAAUAUUUUAGUUGGUCAGGUCUUUCAGUUCGUCUCAAGUUGACAUGUAGUUUUCAGAAAUUAGCAAGUACAUUGUUUGACAUUUUGAUCUGGAGGUCACUCGUUUUCUGAACAUAAUUCGUCAUAAAAUUCUCUCUUUUAAAUCAAAAUUAUUUGAACUCAUCCAAAUCUGGUAAUUAGCAUUUGUUUACAGCAGGGGUUCCCAAACUUUUCCAUUCCACGACCCACCUAGACAAGUAUAAUCUAUUUCAUGACCCACCAAAAUAUUUGAGAUAAAAAACAAAACAAAACAAUUGACAUUACUUUAAGCCUAAUCUUAAUUAAAGGUUUGAUAUGACAAAGUAUUUAAGAAAAAUAACCAUUUUAUUUUAGUGUACAACUGUAAAAUAUCACUAUAAUAUUUAAGUUUUAAUUUCUUUGUUUACAGACGUUAAAAUAUGAAACGUCCAUAAAAACGUGAAACAGGCUCACUCCAGUGAAAUGUAAUCUGUGCUGCGUGUUGUUAAACUCAUCGCGGGGUUCAGCGCAGAAAAUGCAUUCAUGGUCCUUCCGUGUGUGUGUGUGUGUGUAAGGGAGAGCGGUGCACAAUCACUUUUUUAGGAAAGCAUAAGAAGUAAAGCAGAACUAUCUAAAACAGUUUGGAGAUUAAAAUAAUUGGGAAAUAGGUAAGAAUAAUAAACAGAUGCGUCUCAUUUUAAAUAAACACAAAAAAAUGAGAUGACAAAGUUACUUCAGUCAGAAAUUUGCUUUUGCAAUGGUUAAAUAAAUGGUCAGCAAUAUCUUCAAAAGAUUUUUUAACUUUUUUUUUUCUCUAUAUAGAGAUAUGUGAUAUGUCAAGGAAAUAUUGCGAAAUUUUGUACAUUUUGUUAUGUGGAAAUGUUUUAAUCUUGUAGUGUUACAAUUAACC